rnacentral:tRNA from 1 species
GGGCCGGUAGUUCAGCUGGGAGAAUGUCUCGUUCGCAACGAGAAUGUCGGCGGUUCAAGUCCGCUCCGGUCCACCA